rnacentral:tRNA from 1 species
GGUUGUGGCUCAAUGGUAGAGCACUUGCCUAGCAUGUGUGAGGCGCUGGGUUCCAUCCUCAGCACCA